CCUUGGGCAAGUCUUUCCUACUCCUCCAUUUCUUCAUCUGGAAAACAGCUUUAGCAUAAAGCCUAAGUGAGCUAAUAGAACAGGCAUCAAGUGGAAGCCUAAUAGGGCAGCCCCGUGAGACUGCCACACUCAUACUUCCUUAGUGUAUCAGUCAUCUAGCUCUAGAGUAUGCUGUGUAACAAACUACCCCAAAACCCAGUGCCUUAAAAUAUUAAUCAUUUAUUUUUGCUUGUUCAUCUACAGGUCAGUCAGCUGCUGCUGGUUUGGACCAGGCUGGGCUUGGUUGCAGGUUGCCAGCUGAAUCUAGGUCUGCAGGACCAGGAACUAGCUGGUGCUUAUUCUUCUCAAGGUGAUGGCAGAGCAGCAAGAGGGUUGUAGCACAAGAGAGUGUAGAAGUGAAGAAGUGCGUGUAAAAGCAUAUCAUGUUACCUCAUGUCUGUGAACAUCACAUUGGCCAAAACCACUGUUAAUGGAGUGGAGAAUUAUAUUCUGCCCCUGGUGGGGGAGGGAGGGGCAUGGACAUUUCCUGAAUAAAAAUCCAACUUCCUGGUCAGGGUAGGCAAACAACUGUAGCAAAUGGCCCCUAUAGUGGCUUAAAGCAAUAAGAAUUUAUAUUGCACUCAUGUGGCAACACUAUACAUUGAUGUUUCUGGUCAGGCAGCUUACCUCCAUGUAGUGACUCAGGUCCUCAGGCUUCUUCUCUCUUGUCACUCUGCCCUCCUCCAGGUCCUGGGAGUUUACUCCGUGCAUCUGGGAGAUAGGAAAAGAGGAAACAAAUACAAGACUGCACUGGAGUUUUUAUGGACCAGUCUUAGAGGUAGUCUCCAUCAUUUCUGCCCUCAUCUCAUUGGCAGGACUUAGUCACAUGGUCUUACCUAACCGCAAGAGAGGCUGAGAAAUGUAGUCAAGCUGUGCACCCAGGAGAAAAAGAAGGCAAGUUUGGGCAGACCUGGAGCAUACACUAUUAAAGGAUCUGCCAAACUUGAGCGUGAAAAAACGCAGACAUCCUGAGACAUCAACUCUUCAUUGGGUCUCACUGGCACUUGAUUCCUUUUCAGAUGCAAUGGCAAGCAUUAUUUAGGUGUUACCUUAUGGGACCCCACCUUUGGCCUGAGCAUUUGUCCCAGUUUGGACCCAGGGUGAACUCCAAUUCCAAUUUUUAUUUUCAAAACAAAGGGAUCUAUUCCUUCUAGGUACAGCUAUAACACAUGUUUCAAACACAUCAAGCGCACAGGAUACCUAAACAAAGGAGCCUACAGGGACUUGCAGAUAUUCUUUAUUCUCAGCUCUGUGGCCCAUCUCUAAGAAAAUGGGUAUCCUCUGUCAUUUGUUGCUUAAGAACACUGGUCAAAUCUAUUAGUUUCAUUCAAUCCCAUGGGUAGUGUUUUUAUUUUAAUUUUUUAAUUUUUAUUAAAACUUUUUAAGUUUAUUUAUUUUGAGAGAGACAAAGAGAGCAAGCAAGGGAGGGGCAGAGAGAGAGAGAGAGAGGGAGAGACAGAAUCCCAAGCAGGCUCCACACUGUCAGCAUGGAGCCUGACACAGGGCUUGGACUCACAAACCGUGCAAUCACGACCUGAGCUGAGACCAAGAGUCAGAUGUUUAACCGACUGAGCCACCCAGGGGCCCCACUCCCACCAUUUUUUGAGACUAGAUUGUCCUUUAUGACUUUCUUCUAGCGAGUGAAAUGUAGCAGGGGUUAUGCUUUUUAACUUCUAUGGCUAAGACAUAAAAGUCCAUGGAGAUAUAAAAGGCCCGACUCUCUCUCAGGAUACCUCUGCACUCUGAGAAAACCAAGCACCUACAAGGAAAGGCUGCUUGUAGGCAUUCCAGCUACAGCCCCAGCUGAGGUCUGAGCCAUCAGCUAGCAUCAACCACUAAACAGGCAAACAGAUGAGCCUUGAAGCUUUAAAUUACCCCAGCCAUUGCUGAGUGGAACAAACACAAGUUGUCCCUGGCCAGAUUAUUACAGUUUCGUGAGCAAAAUAAAUGUGUAGUUGUUUUAAAUCACUGAGUUUCAGGAUGUUUUGUUAUGCAGCAGCACCGUGAGAUGGAAAAAUCAUAACUUAGUGGUGUCAGGGUCUCAGGUCCCAUUCGGGGAUUUUUCCUAAGUAUCUUCUGCAAUACUCACACAUAUACUUAGUUGUCAUUUAUCAAAUAUCCAUGAAGUUUCUAGCAGUGUUCUCUGGAUGUGGAAGAUAGAAAGAUGAUGAGACUCUUGAGUUACAAGUCUAGUGUAGUAAAUGAAUCGCUCUAAGUCAAUCAACAAGCUCAUGCUCAUGCCUUGCAUUUACUUAUGACUUGGGUGUCAUUUAUGUCUGACAACAUUUCAGCCUGCUGCUUGGAACAGAUUGUGUACUGUUAACAGAUGGUAUUGAGAGAGCCGAACCACUCAACUCCAAUUACAUUUCCAUUUUCUUUGUUGAGAAGGAUGCUUUGGAAAAUGUCGAGCUAAUAAGAGGGAGCUAAUGGAGUCUUGAUGACUGUCAACUGCGGGGUGAGGAGGUGGGGAAGGCAGUGGAGAGAAGCCUUUGGAGAUUUGCUGUGGGGCAACAUUCCUCAGGCCUGUUCAAUUUGACAAUUUUUUUUUUUUAAUUCGGGCUUUGAACGGGGAUAUAGAUAGAAUGCUGAUCAUAUUAGGAAGGAUGUAGCUCUGUAAACACUAAGGCAAGGGACACCUGGGUGGCUCAGUUGGUUGAUUUCUGCUCAGGUCAUGUUCUGGUGGUUCACGAGUUUGAGCCCCACAGCGGUCUCUGUGCUGAUAACACAGAGCCUGGAGCCUGCUUUGGAUUCUGUGUCUCCCUCUCUUUCUGCCCCCUCCCCCACUCAUUCUCUCCCCUUCCACACCCCUCUCUCAAAAAUAAAUGAUCAUUAAAAAAAACAAAACAAAACACUAAGGCAAGCUGGAUCCAGUGGAGAUAUAGACAAAAUAAGAUGAGAUUAGACCUGAUAGGGGCAGAUGCGGGGCCUGCUUGGUCUGACCACAAACCCUACAAAUACAGACAGACAUGAUUAACAUGAUUACCUCUCAAAAAGAAGGUGAAUUUUGUGGCUGUGUGAAUAAGAAGAAAGAGUUCAGUCCAGGUUUCCCUUGACCGCAAGGAAGACAUUCACUUCUGCCUCAGGGCCUUUGCCCUUGUUGGGAUCCUCAUGUGAGAUGCUGUUUUUACUCUAAAUAUUCACACUGUGCACCUUAUUUCACUUAGAACGUUGUUUAAGUGUCCUCCUCUCAGAGAACUUUCCUUGACCAUCCAUAUAGAGUAAUACCCCUGACAUUCUCUCAACCUUUACCCUGUUUCAUCUUUCUUCAUAGAAUCCAUCUCUACCAAAUGUGUUAUAUAUUCACUUAUUUGUUUGUUGUCUGUCCUCCGUACUAGGAAAUUGAAGACCUCAUCUAUCUGGUUUACUACUGCAUCCCCAGCACCAAAUGCAAUGCCCUGACACCUUAAGUGCUCAAUCAGUGUUCUGUGAACAAUACAUAAAAUUCUUUUUUUUUUAAUUUUUUUUAACAUUUAUUCAUUUUUGAGAGAGACGGGGAGACAGAGUGUGAGCAGGGGAGGGGCAGAGAGAGAGACAGAGAGAGAGAGAGAGAGGGAGACACAGAAUCUGAAGCAGGCUCCAGGCUCUGAGCUGUCAGCAUAGAACCCGAUGGGUGGCUGGAACUCACAAACUGUGAGAUCAUGACCAGAACCGAAGUCGGACGCUUAACCGACUGAGCCACCCAGGCGCCCCAAUGAACAAUACAUAAAAUUCUUAAUCAAGAUGAAAUAAGCUAUUCUGAGUGAGAUGAUGAGUUCCCUGUCAUUGGAGGCAUUCAAUGAGAAGUGGAUAGCUAAGUAUGUGGACUAUUAUAGAGAUGGUUCAGACCUUGGGCUGGAGUAGGCCCGCAGUCAAGCAAAUCUACUUCUCCCUACAUGACCUUUCUGGUCCUUUUCUUGCUGUUAUUUCAGUUGUGAAACAUCCUCCUUUUGGGUACCAGUUUUGCCAGCCUGGAGAAUA
rnacentral:lncRNA from 1 species